UCAGCAGACAAGUCGAUCUCCUGCCACGCUCCCCCAAAUCACUAUUUCCACCGAGUGAUUGGUUGUUUGAAAGGGUGUUAACCUACUGAAGCUGUUUUGGUUGGCUGACUGAUUAACUUUUGAAUGGAUUCUAAAAGAAUUAACGGCGGCAACUGUUUCCUGUACCCAGAGACAGACUGGCCUCAAGUAUACAACAUGGCCGGCACGGACAUGCUCCUGUUUGCUGGAAGGAUGGCUUUCCGCUCCGACCUCCAUCUCGCGUCCAUUCAUUCCGAUCUCAGCGUUCCUGAAACGUGCGCUUGUCCCGUGGAUGCCGCCAUUAUCUGGAUGGAAAGACAACUUGACAAUGUCAGAAAGGACCUAGAAAUAAUAAAGAAGACCAGUAUGACGUCAUCCACCCGUCCGUACCUCCCACCCUGCCUACCCGCAUGAGGGGGCGUGUCGGGGUCAUUGAGUACGAACUGCAGGAAGCAGAGAGACUGAGGCAGAUCAGAGAGAGAAAACAGCAACGAGAGAAGCUUUGACCCAGGAGAGAGUAGUCAUGAGGGAGGAGAGAGACAGGAGAGACGCUAUGUCGGUUGUGGGGGUCAGGAAGAGAAAACUGGAGGAGGGGACAUCAUCGAUGAACGUGGCGGAAACCAGACCGAAGAGAUCUCGCAAACAAAAUUCCAAAUAUGACAGCGGCACCUUCCUCAUCCACAACGGAUCUGGCGCCUCCCGCGACACAUCCAACAUCGCCAACAGACUGAGGAGCAGGAGGACUUUAAAACGUGGCCACUAGAAACUGGCAGCUUGAUUUGACAUUCAAGAUAUAGUUUUAAAUUUCGUCACUCUAUUUUCAUCGAUCUGUGAUUGCUCGGAAAGCCCUGU